rnacentral:lncRNA from 1 species
UUACAAAGAAAUAAGAGAGAGAAAAGAGAAAGUAGGAAAAGAAAGGAAAGGAGGAAAAGAAGAAAAAAUGGAGAAGAAAAAUAGAAAAGAGAGAGGAUGAAUUAUUAAUCUCCUCCCACCACCUUCACUCAUUCAUGAAGAAAUUUGAAAAUUAGAGAGAGAGAGAGAGGGGGGAAGAGAAGGAAGAGAAGAGAGGGAGAGAAUAUGAAAAGAAAUGAAGAAAUGAAGAAAUGAAGAAAAAGGUAAUUUCAAAAUAUUGAUAAUUUUAGUUUUUAUAGAUUUUAUGUAAAGAGUACAUACUUAUGUAUGUAUUGGAUGAUUGAAACUUGCAUAAACAUGAAUUAAAUGAGAGAAAUCUAGAAAUCAGAAGAAUAAAAUAUUGAGAUUUUCAGAAAAAUUAGUUUACUACUUGAUUUUGUAAAAUCCAUAACUCUUUGUGUAUAAUGAGUUAGGAGAUGAGCUAUAAUUCAAACGAAAGCCCUGGAAGUAAGCUAAACGCAGAAAUUUGAAUCACUCAAAAAUUCUUUGUUGAUUUUUCGUGGUGAUAGUUUGAGUGAAACUGGUACAAAGAAUUUAUAGUCCGAAAAAUCAUUUUAUUAAGCUAUAUUGCGUGAGUUAUAAUUGUUAAUCCGACCGUUGGAUCGUUGUGAUUUUUUGAUAUGUUAUACAUAUAUAAGUUCAGUAUAUGUUCACAAAUUUUGAACCAUUAAAGAUUAACGUAUGAUUUUUUAUGAAUUUAAGGAGGUGACUGAUCCAGAUAUUUUUAUAGCAAAAUUUUCGGUAAGCCUUUCUCUCUAUGUUAGAGUCAGAAUUUGGAAAAACUUUCUACAAAGUUGUAGAGAAUUAAAUUUUACAUGAAAAAGACAUAAGAUCCGUACUUUUCUGAUAAAAGGGCUACUUAUUAUGAAUUAUUGAAGUUUCUGAAUAUUAGAAUUUAUAAUUAAUUUAUCAGAAAAAUUAUUUGGGCUAAGAUAUUUUACAGAAUGCUUAUAAUAUCAUCUUAGAAUUUUUGUAAAUUUUUGAUGAAUUAUUGAAAAGCAUUAUUGUAUUUUUAAACUAUUUAUAGUUAGUUUGAAAAUAGAAGAAAUUCAUAGAAAAUUCUAUGAAUGAUGAAAAAUUAUUAAACUUGGUGAAAAAUGGUAUAAUAUUAUUUUAUAAUUUCUGGGUAGUUUUGAAAAAUUAUUUUAUAACAAAAAUAUUUAUUGUAUUUUUAAGCUAUUUAUGGUUAGUUUAAAAAUAGAGGAAAUUCAUAGAAAAUUCUAUGAAUGGUGAAAAAUUAUGAAUUCUGCUGAAAAAUAUUAUAAUAAUUUAAGAUUAAUAUUGAUGAUGUUUUAAAGAUAUAAAAGUAUGUGGAGUUAGUAUUUCUAUUUUGAAGCUAUUAAAUGAUAGUUUUUAUAAAUAAAAAUAAUUAUAGAAAAUUGUUGGAUAAUCCAAAAAAUGUAAAAAUUAUUUAGAAAGUUUAGAAUACUAUUUUAAAUAUUUUAGAAGUGUUAGUAAGCUCAUGAGGUGUCGGGAUGUAAACGCACAAGUAACGAAUGAGUUAUGAUAAAAACAAAAAUAAUAUUUUUGUUAAAGUAAAAAUGGUGAUAAUACCAGAAUAGUGGAUUGACAUUUUAAAAAUAAAUUAUCAGAUAUGAAGUUUUAGAUUUCUCAAGUUUUAUUCACUUCUAAUGUUUUGGAAUAUGAAUAAUGAUGUUAUGCGAUAAAUAAAGACAACUUGAUGAAUAAUAAAUUAUUAGUUGGUUUAUAUGUUAUUCGAGGUAAAUAUGUUUUGGUGUUGACCCCGACUUUUAAUAGAAUUAGUAAGGUAUUGAUUUGAUUCUUACGUAAUAAGUCACUAUGUAUUUCAUUCAAUAAUUGUCACAAUAGUUAUUGCACAGUAACUCAUAUUAUUUGAUAUAAUUAAACUAGUUGGCAGUAUUGUGAGUCUAUGUUAAUAAUUGUUGAAAGAUUGAAAAUGUGUAAAUAAUUGAUGAAUAAAAGGUGUUGAUUAAAGAUAAGUAUGAUAUACAGAUGUUUGUUCAAUUAUUUUCUUUUUACAAAAGUAUAUUUGGCAGGACUUGCCGACACUCUACUUUUCCUAAAGUAAUCUGGACCACAACUCAAUUAUUUUUAAAACGUGUACAAGUUGGUUUAAUUUUCUCGGUGGGACCAUAAAUUCCACUACCAUUAUUAUAUACCUCAUUUGGUUAUUUUGACAAAGCAGGUGUGCUAGUUGUUUACUAAAUUUUCAGUAUAAAUAGGUUGCCCGGUUGAGCAACUAAACACACACCAUCACUGCACUAAAAAUAUAAAAAUUCUUUUACUACAAUAUUAUGAGUAUAAUAUUGUGAGUAUUUCUAUUGAGUGUAAUAUUACUCCAUGUGUAGAAAAGGAAUGCAAGCAUUUUUUAAGUUGAUCAAUUUUAUAGAAAGAAGAAUCAAGUCACAUGCUAAGGUAAGGGAUAUCAUUAUUAUGAUAAAGGGUUUCAUUUUUAUGGUAAAGUGAUAUCAUUUUCUUUCAUACUCCAUAUUAUGGUAAGAUAUUAUUAUUCGUUACUUCAGCUUAUCAUUAAAUGGUAAAAAGUCCUGAAAGGAUUAGAAUAUCCUUAAUAGUUUGUGCUUCAUCUAAAAUCAUGUUGGCAAUUUGGACUCUGGAUAAUUAAAAUAAAAAUCACUAAGAUCUAUUUUAUCUUAUCAUUCUGAUUCUUUGUGUUCAUUCAUUAUAUAUAUCAUUGUCAUCAUCCUCAUGCUUAUAUUGUGAUGAAAGUUAUCUUUGGCCCGUAAUGCAUAUAUGGACUAUUGAUUGGUAUGAUUAUGACCAGGGAUUAUUCGGUAUAAUCAUGGCCAUUAGUGAUAACACGAAUAUCCUUGGCCCGUAGUGCAUGGAUAAUUCGUGGAUGUGAUACUAAUGGAUAUCCUUGGCCGUAGUGCAUGGAUAAUUCAAUGAUGUAGAUUAUUUAUUGAACUGAGUCUCAACGAUAAAAUAUUAAUUCGUGGAUGCGAUAACACAAAUAUCCUUGGCCCGUAGUGCAUGGAUAAUUCGUGGAUGUGAUACUAAUGCAUAUCCUUGGCCCGUAGUGCAUGGAUAAUUCAGUGAUGUGGAUUAUUUAUUGAGCUGAGUCUCAGCGAUAAAAUAUUGAUGAUAAACUUUUAAAUCAUAGAAGAUAGUAGAUAUCAUGAUAUACUUGACUCUUCUAAAAUACAGUUGUAUGUCUUUGGCUCGUAGUGCAAAGAUGGACUGUUGAUUUACCUGAUUAUAAAUAUGAAUUGUGAAUUUAACUAUAAUCUUUGGUGGUUCAGGUGAAGACAGGUGAUGAGAGUUAUCUUUGUCUUGGGUACAACAAAGAACUAUUGAUGGGUAUUACAGUAAUGAAGUAUUGAUGAUGGAAUUUUAAUUUUGAGAGGAUAAUAGACAUUAUGUUCUACUUGACUCUUCUAAUGGAUUGUUGAUUUCGUUGCUAUUAUGGUUGAAAACUUUUAUCUUCUACCAUAUGUUCUAAAUAUCUGAUUUAUUAUGGAUAAAGGCUAUUGAUAAUUUAUUUAUCUUAAGUCAUGAUAUUCUUUACUGGUCUAUUUGUACUCACCUUUUUAUUUCACCAUCCCUUUCAGGAAAUAAAAGUGUAACUGGGACUAGCAGUGAGAAAAGGGUAUAAAGUGGUAUUUCAAAUGAUCAAAAUCCUAAUCAAAUUAUAAAAUGGUGUGACAUAAUAAUUGUAUUGAGAAUUUAAAAUGUGUGUGAUAUAUUUUAUACAUCAUUUAAUAGUUAUAUUUAGUUAACCAAAUAGGGGGAUGCGAACUCGAAUUUGAAAGCGUCAAAAUGCAUUCCAUUAGAAUGAGGAGGACAUAAAUCUUCUCGUGUUCCUUUGGGGACUUGAAAAUACAUGCUGCUGUAUUUUAUAUGGCAUUGUAAUAAUUUGAGUAUGAAUAUUGUCGUAUUAUAUACGCUACAAUAUUUGUAUUGAAACUCACAAUACAUGUGUGAUAAGUGGAAUUUAUAUACGCGAUUCAAUGUCCAUUUCAUGCUUAUUUGUUGCUAAAUUCUUGUGAUCAUGUUCCUUUUUACUCGUUUUAUGUUAUUGCAUGUGUAGGAUGGUAGUUGUGGCUUGUAACGUAUAUUUGGAGUUAAUUGGGAUGAUUUGAAGUCAAUUAGAGCAAAAUUGGAGUACAACAUGAAAUUCAGCAAGUCAUCUGACAGAUUACACCCCCGCCGGGGCGGCGGGGUCUUCAUUCGAGCUUGACAGAAAGGUGGCCCGCUGGGGCGGGCGUUUAUAGCACAUGAACCCCCGCCGGGGUGGGGGGUGUCGAUUCUGAAGUUGUCCUGCUAUGAUUGAAAUUCUUCUUGGGCAUGGAUUCUAGUUUAUUGCAUGACAAUAGAACUCUAAUUGAAAGGAAUUUCGGCUGGAGCUUGUGUGUUGGACAUCUAUUACUUUAUCAAUAACAACUUUAACAAUACAACAAGACAUAUUGCGAAGAUUGAGCUCUAUUUUUCCUAACAAGUGUGGAGGAGUAUUUCGAAGAGAUUUUUGAGACGAUUGCGAUUAUAGGCUACGUGAAGGGUGUUUUUUAAUAUUCUUCGUCUUAGGCUAUUAUUUGUAAUCACAAGAAUGAUUUCUAUGAUUUAUUCAGUGUUUAUUUCGUUUAUUAUGAACUAAUUCACUUUUUAGGCUUAUGAUGGAUCUUUGAGUGAAACAAUCAUUUUGUAACCUUUGAGUUCCAUUUCAAUAAUCUAUUUCCAG